rnacentral:tmRNA from 1 species
GGGCUCGUAAUGGUUUCGACGGGGAUUUUGAGGUAUGAUAAGCGUGGCGGGCUGACUGACCCGUAUAACGGUCAAAUUAAAAAUUAAACGACAACAGACAAGUUGCAAUGGCUGCCUAAACGAUUCUCCCUCGGGAGAGCCGUUUGGCAGUGCCGUGGCUUUUAAGCCACCCGUUCCCUGCGGAUAACUGCGACCGCAGAGCGAGCGUCAAGGAGCAGUGAACCUGAACCGAGAGUUGCGCCCGUAUCGGUCAGGCAUAAGAGCGCUACGGUCUUUUUUGAGUCUGUCAAUCGACGCAUAAAAGAGGGAAGACACAAAGAUUGACUGUCCACGAAGAAAGUCAUAUCAACGAAUUUUCGGACAGGGGUUCGACUCCCCUCGAGUCCACCA